rnacentral:lncRNA from 1 species
CCCCCAACCUGGCUGGUAGCUUCCUGGGGAAGGUGGUCCCCCAUCGGGUGGCUUUUGUUCCUCUCUCCAGGCAAGCCUGUGCCUGGAAGAAUUCGGCUGGCAGGCCCCACUGGGAGGACAGGCGGUACUGCCUCCUCCCCGCCCCCAGCCCCAGGUCAACAGGGCCUUUGUUCUACCUGCACACACCGGCAGGCAGGCGGGCAGAGCCAGCCCCCUUCCCUGGCAGCUCCCCCACCCUCUGAAGGCAGGCACUCCAGGCACAGGGGCGGCACCUCACUACUCUCACUUCCACUUUUGGGACCACAGCACCGAAGCGGCACGGGGAAGCCAACACUCCAGGUAGGCCACGCACACACCCAGAAGCCCGCGUCCCCAAGUCCGGCGGGCCAGACCUCACGGCGCACAGCAGCACGUGACAGUCACAUGAUUUCUGCAUUGAACCCCAAAGCUUCCACCAGCUUUCCUGGAACCUACGGCCAGAAGAGUCCUGAGAUUUCAAAUAUUAAAGCUUUCUCCACAGCC